rnacentral:lncRNA from 1 species
GAAAAUUUAGACCGUUUCAAUGCAUUUUAAAACUUUGCUGACAACAGAAAAUAUUUAUUUGUAUUAUAGUAUUUCUUACCUUACUUUGCAUAAUUAUGUGGGAUGAUUUUUUAUUUAUUUAUUUAUGCUGAGCUUCAGUGCAGACAAUACUGUGUUUUCAGAUUUUGGAUAUUUUAAAAAAGGCAAGUAUGAUGUCUGCCAAUUGAUAACAGCGGUCUCUUACAGAAGGAAAAAAAUUAAUUAUCUCAGAAACUAAAUCAACGUAUUAAAAGACCUUCAAGUGGGNACCCUUUAUAUGCAUUCAAAGGAAGAUUCAGGUAUCUAGGAAUGAUUUAUAGCUGUAAGGAACAGACACACGGACACUUUCUUAUAGGUGCAGAUCAAUCCAUUUAAAGUUCCAAGAAGGCUGUUGACUUUUUAAUUCCAGAAUAUGUGAGUUUCAGCCUUCUGCACCUCUGCAGCAGUUGUCUUUGCGUACUUUUCCAGUUCUGCGCAUCACUCCCACUGUCUUCCUUCCUUUUCUCUCUCAGGCUGUAUCUACACAAANGCAUCUCUGUGGAAAAGGGGCAGAUUUGCCCGAAAUGGCUCCAUUUCACAUAACCUGAAACUGUGAAUGGAGGGCCCGAGAUGAUGUCCCGUCACAUUUUUCUUACCUCCUGUUUUGCCUGCCUCUUUGGUGGAAGAAGAUUGGAAAAAUGGCUCCAGGCAAAGCAUCUGCCUGUCGAAAUGGGACAAAAGCCAUCAAUGGCUAGCUCUGGGCGUGGAGAAGAAGCACCAUUUGGAAGGGCUUUUCAAAGGCUUGUAACACCUCAAACUGUGAACCAGUGUAAGGCUUAAAC